rnacentral:RNase_P_RNA from 1 species
CAGACGGUCGCGUGCCUUUGGCAUGAGGAAAGUCCGGGCUGCACAGGGCAAGGAUAACGGAUAACGUCCGCCGGGGGCGACCCCAGGAAUAGUGCAACAGAGAUAUACCGCCUUUUCCGGCUUCGUGCCGGAGGGGUAAGGGUGGAAAGGCGAGGUAAGAGCUCACCGCGCCCCAUGGCAACAUGGGGGGCCUGUAAACUCUAUCCGCAGCAACGCCGACAGGGACCAUGGGCGGCCCGUCCGUCCCGACUGGCGGCUUGAGGCGCGCGGCGACGCGCGUCCCAGAUAGAUGACCGUCCAACGACAGAACCCGGCUUACCGCA